UCCUCCGGUUUUAUGUGACUUCUUCCGGAAAAACAAUUACGGAUGAUUCGCAUGCAUUUGUCGCCUGGAGUGUGACGUAGUAUGAAGUUCUCAUUUCCAUGUACAACGCGUGGUGGUAUCAAAGGCAAUAAAUUUAUAAUUUCUUAUGUGUUAUUUUAAGUCACUGAGGAAUUAUUGUAUUUCCUGAAUGGUGUCUCACUCUCUUCAGGAACAUCACUGUUCAUAAGACCACAGAUUGCCUGUCUUUAUUAUGCAACAUAAACAUCAAAAUAAAGGUUUAUUUGCACAUAUUCCUAA